rnacentral:rRNA from 1 species
AGAUUGAACGCUGGCGGCAGGCCUAACACAUGCAAGUCGAGCGGAUGAAGAGAGCUUGCUCUCUGAUUCAGCGGCGGACGGGUGAGUAAUGCCUAGGAAUCUGCCUGGUAGUGGGGGACAACGUUUCGAAAGGAACGCUAAUACCGCAUACGUCCUACGGGAGAAAGCAGGGGACCUUCGGGCCUUGCGCUAUCAGAUGAGCCUAGGUCGGAUUAGCUAGUUGGUGAGGUAAUGGCUCACCAAGGCGACGAUCCGUAACUGGUCUGAGAGGAUGAUCAGUCACACUGGAACUGAGACACGGUCCAGACCUCCUACGGGAGGCAGCAGUGGGGAAUAGUUGGACAAGUGGGCGAAAGCCUGAUCCAGCCAUGCCGCGUGUGUGAAGAAGUCUUGGAUUGUAAAGCUAACGUUUAAGGUUGGGAGGUAAGGCUAAGUUUAAACCGUAAGUUACGUUAGUUGUUUUAGACGUUAACCGA